rnacentral:rRNA from 1 species
UAUUGGCGGGCGGGCUUUAACACAUGCAAGUCGAGCGGAGUGAUGGUGCUUGCACUAUCACUUAGCGGCGGACGGGUGAGUAAUGCUUAGGAAUCUGCCUAUUAGUGGGGGACAACAUUUCGAAAGGAAUGCUAAUACCGCAUACGUCCUACGGGAGAAAGCAGGGGAUCUUCGGACCUUGCGCUAAUAGAUGAGCCUAAGUCGGAUUAGCUAGUUGGUGGGGUAAAGGCCUACCAAGGCGACGAUCUGUAGCGGGUCUGAGAGGAUGAUCCGCCACACUGGGACUGAGACACGGCCCAGACUCCUACGGGAGGCAGCAGUGGGGAAUAUUGGACAAUGGGCGCAAGCCUGAUCCAGCCAUGCCGCGUGUGUGAAGAAGGCCUUAUGGUUGUAAAGCACUUUAAGCGAGGAGGAGGCUACUGAAGUUAAUACCUUCAGAUAGUGGACGUUACUCGCAGAAUAAGCACCGGCUAACUCUGUGCCAGCAGCCGCGGUAAUACAGAGGGUGCAAGCGUUAAUCGGAUUUACUGGGCGUAAAGCGCGCGUAGGCGGCUAAUUAAGUCAAAUGUGAAAUCCCCGAGCUUAACUUGGGAAUUGCAUUCGAUACUGGUUAGCUAGAGUGUGGGAGAGGAUGGUAGAAUUCCAGGUGUAGCGGUGAAAUGCGUAGAGAUCUGGAGGAAUACCGAUGGCGAAGGCAGCCAUCUGGCCUAACACUGACGCUGAGGUGCGAAAGCAUGGGGAGCAAACAGGAUUAGAUACCCUGGUAGUCCAUGCCGUAAACGAUGUCUACUAGCCGUUGGGGCCUUUGAGGCUUUAGUGGCGCAGCUAACGCGAUAAGUAGACCGCCUGGGGAGUACGGUCGCAAGACUAAAACUCAAAUGAAUUGACGGGGGCCCGCACAAGCGGUGGAGCAUGUGGUUUAAUUCGAUGCAACGCGAAGAACCUUACCUGGCCUUGACAUAGUAAGAACUUUCCAGAGAUGGAUUGGUGCCUUCGGGAACUUACAUACAGGUGCUGCAUGGCUGUCGUCAGCUCGUGUCGUGAGAUGUUGGGUUAAGUCCCGCAACGAGCGCAACCCUUUUCCUUAUUUGCCAGCGAGUAAUGUCGGGAACUUUAAGGAUACUGCCAGUGACAAACUGGAGGAAGGCGGGGACGACGUCAAGUCAUCAUGGCCCUUACGGCCAGGGCUACACACGUGCUACAAUGGUCGGUACAAAGGGUUGCUACCUAGCGAUAGGAUGCUAAUCUCAAAAAGCCGAUCGUAGUCCGGAUUGGAGUCUGCAACUCGACUCCAUGAAGUCGGAAUCGCUAGUAAUCGCGGAUCAGAAUGCCGCGGUGAAUACGUUCCCGGGCCUUGUACACACCGCCCGUCACACCAUGGGAGUUUGUUGCACCAGAAGUAGGUAGUCUAACCGCAAGGAGGACGCUACCAUCGGUGGCCCGGGUGGU